CUGGCAUGCUCAGCAAGGGUGCGUCUCACCAUGGAAGCAACAAGCUGUUAAACGCUGUGACUCAUCUCACAGCAACGCUCUGCCUUCCGAGAGGAGAGCAGCCUGCCAUGAGCAACGCUGAUAAGAUGCAUAUUCAGAGGAAUUCUAUUUGGGCAAAAAGCUAUUGACACAUUCAAACCCCUAGAUACAGAAGCCUCCUCAAAUGCUGACUAAAACACAUGAACACACAUGUUGGAGUAUUGUGAUAAGACAUUUUGUAGAUGGUUGGGUUGACAGUAAUUUAAUCAAUUAAUACGGCCCAACUCAGAAAUGCAAAAAUGGCUUUUAGCCCUCAUAAUUUUUUACCCCUUUAAACAGAGUGCUGCAGAGGAAGAGCUCCAGCCAAAAGGAAAGAAACAAUAUGUGCCUUGCUUAAAUCACUGACUACUCCCCAUAGGUAUCACCUCUUUCUUCUGCUUCCAAGAUUCCCCUUUUAUGCAAAAGGUAAUUAUCAGCCAAGAACUGCAUUGAACACUCCAUCAGCAUUAGCACCAAGGACCUCAUGGCAUCUUUGUAUUUUACUGCAGCAUGGCCCUGGCUGCCACCACUUUUUCUAACAUGGUACAUCAGAAGACAACUGCUCUGCUGUAAGGACUGAAGAUUGCAGUCUUAUUUCUCAAGAGUGACUGCAUAACCAAAGGCCAAAACAAACAGCAAAAGUCUGGACAGACAAUUAAAGGAAUUUUACAAGUCA